GUAAAAGUCGUAACAAGGUCUCCGUUGGUGAACCAGCGGAGGGAUCAUUACCGAGUUUACAACUCCCAAACCCCUGUGAACAUACCUUAAUGUUGCCUCGGCGGAUCAGCCCGCGCCCCGUAAAACGGGACGGCCCGCCAGAGGACCCAAACUCUAAUGUUUCUUAUUGUAACUUCUGAGUAAAACAAACAAAUAAAUCAAAACUUUCAACAACGGAUCUCUUGGUUCUGGCAUCGAUGAAGAACGCAGCAAAAUGCGAUAAGUAAUGUGAAUUGCAGAAUUCAGUGAAUCAUCGAAUCUUUGAACGCACAUUGCGCCCGCUGGUAUUCCGGCGGGCAUGCCUGUUCGAGCGUCAUUUCAACCCUCAAGCCCCCGGGUUUGGUGUUGGGGAUCGGCUCUGCCCUUCUGGGCGGUGCCGCCCCCGAAAUACAUUGGCGGUCUCGCUGCAGCCUCCAUUGCGUAGUAGCUAACACCUCGCAACUGGAACGCGGCGCGGCCAUGCCGUAAAACCCCAACUUCUGAAUGUUGACCUCGGAUCAGGUAGGAAUACCCGC
rnacentral:rRNA from 1 species